rnacentral:lncRNA from 1 species
AAAACAGAAAACCACCCCUACCACCAGCGAAAUUGCUGUUGAGGAAGUUUUGUGUGAAGCAAAUAGACCUGAAGAGAGCUGGGGUCCUUGGUGGUCUUGAAAGAUGUUGACUUUACGUCUUCUCUUGCUAAGAAUGAGAUUUCUGCCAUUCUGGAUAGCAUUAUUAUUGCAAGCACAUGUGUCUGCAAUGGUUGCCAGCAUUCUUCUGCUGCUGCAGUGGGCUUAAACCAUAGCAAGGUUGAAAUCGUGGUCAGGAUCAGACGUCCCCCAUUAGACACAUAGCACCUGAAUGAACAUAGACCUAAGGUCAUAGCAAGGAUAUAAACUAGUUAUCUGACUCCCUAUCUACCCAGGCAAUAAAGAGAUAAGAAUUAAAAGAA